AUGAACGCUGGCGGCGUGCCUAAUACAUGCAAGUCGAGCGAACGGACGAGAAGCUUGCUUCUCUGAUGUUAGCGGCGGACGGGUGAGUAACACGUGGAUAACCUACCUAUAAGACUGGGAUAACUUCGGGAAACCGGAGCUAAUACCGGAUGAUAUUUUGAACCGCAUGGAUCAAAAGUGAAAGACGGUCUUGCUGUCACUUAUAGAUGGAUCCGCGCUGCAUUAGCUAGUUGGUAAGGUAACGGCUUACCAAGGCAACGAUGCAUAGCCGACCUGAGAGGGUGAUCGGCCACACUGGAACUGAGACACGGUCCAGACUCCUACGGGAGGCAGCAGUAGGGAAUCUUCCGCAAUGGGCGAAAGCCUGACGGAGCAACGCCGCGUGAGUGAUGAAGGUCUUCGGAUCGUAAAACUCUGUUAUUAGGGAAGAACAUAUGUGUAAGUAACUGUGCACAUCUUGACGGUACCUAAUCAGAAAGCCACGGCUAACUACGUG
rnacentral:rRNA from 1 species